rnacentral:lncRNA from 1 species
CAAGUACAAACUCGUAUACAGGGAAAAUUACUAAUAGUUGUUGAAACGAACGCAUACUCGAUUCAUUUAUCAAUGUAUUUGAGUGUCCAACAACUCAAAACACGAGGAAACUGGAAUCAAUGAUAAUAUUAUAGUUGAUGAGGAGCUCAUAAGAAGUUAUGUAGCUCCGUGAUAUUCUUGAGCUACAAGGGAUAAUACUCGGCGAUAGAACAACAUUAAAGUUUGGACCGAUGUAUUGGUCUAAAGAAGACAAGUGUUUUAAUUUGUCUACGUAUGGAAUUCAAAGAGGAUCAAUCAUGGUCGGAACCAUGGUUGCAAAGUACCAAAUCACAUAUACUAGAUCAAAUCAUAAAACGAAUGAUUAUGGAUACGAGAAGUUUCUACGAUAGGAUUUACGUCGUUUCCAUGGGCAUGAACACAAGGUUCAGGGUCGACUCCCACUUCAUCAAUGCAUCACCUGCCCUUUACUCGCCUUUCAUGAGGUUGUAGCCUGGAAAGAUUAUAUGGCAAAACACCAGAAGAGUAAGACUCGUGAAAACUCUUGGGAUCACACAGAUUUAGGAAGGCAUAGGUUCAACCCAUCAGGGCACCUUAGGAACAUAUACCACAAACUUCAAGAGUAAUCAACACAUGCUUGACAACAGAGCAUGGCUGACAAAAGCAUAGGAUAUAGUUUAUCAGAGGGGGAAGACACAAUUUACCAAUGGCAUCAUGUAUCAGGGGAAGCAUAUCACAAGAAUUUUUGAAUGUAAAGGAUGUCGUCGGAUAAUAACCGAAGAAUGGGUCUGGAAGUCCGCAAAAGACCUGAUGUGAGUAUCGGUACUCAAUCAGAGGGAUAUAGAAUGCAAGGCAUCAGAUUAUAGAACAUCUAAAAAAUAUCGAUACUUAACUACCAAAGGAAUUAUGAUUUCCAGGUUGGUGUAUCCGAUUCAGAUGCUCCGAUC